rnacentral:rRNA from 1 species
UACAUAGGUCCCAAGCGUUGUUCGGAUUCACUGGGCGUAAAGGGUGCGUAGGUGGUGGGGUAAGUCUGCUGUGAAAUCUUCGAGCUUAACUCGGAAAUGGCAUUGGAUACUACUCUGCUAGAGGUUUGGAGGGGGGACUGGAAUUCUCGGUGUAGCAGUGAAAUGCGUAGAUAUCGAGAGGAACACCAGUGGCGAAGGCGAGUCCCUGGACAACACCUGACACUGAGGCACGAAAGCUAGGGGAGCAAACAGG